UCUCCCUCCGUUUCAAAAUAAGUGCAGCCAUGUUUUCAGUGCCAACUUAAUUAUUCGUCUUAUUUGAAAAUUUUAAAAAAAAUUAAAAACAUAAGUCACGAGUAAAGUACUAUUCAUGUUUUAUUAUCUUAUAACAACAAAAUUGCUAAUUAUAAAAAAAUUUUAAAUAAGACGGAUGAUCAAAGUUGAGCGCGAAAACUCAUGGCUGCACUUAUUUUGGGACGGAGGAG
rnacentral:pre_miRNA from 1 species